rnacentral:lncRNA from 1 species
AGUUGGUAUCUUCUGAGAAAGUACAAAAAGGUUUCUAUUUCUUAAAUCUGAAAGAACAAAUAAGCUAUAAGAUGAAAGAUAGCAGGACACUGCAUCAAGGAAUCAGAUGGCUCUGAAUUGAGACUUGUGCAAGGUACUAACUCUUCUAGCCCUCAGUUUCCUUACUGUAUAAUGGGAAUAAUAAUAUCUAUUCUUAUAAUGUUGUCAUGAGGGUUAAACAAUAGUAUAUGGAGUCAUAAUCCAGCCCUAUGCCAGACACAUUGUUGGCACCAAGUAGGCAGUGCUGUUAAUGUGAUUUAGGGAUAUGGACUAGUGACUCAUUUAUGCACUAGGGUCUUUGAGGAGGAAAGGGAUGAGAUUCAGCACCCUGUGGCCUCUGCUACCCAUCUGAAAUACAUUAUCAUCACUUCCAAGUCUUAAAUUAUGUAAAGCACAUCCCUGUGGUACAAAUACUAAGCAAAUGGUAAUGAUAUGAAUAGUCAUUAGGGCACUGAAUGACAGCAGGGAUCAACAAGGAAUUGAACCAUCUGAGUCUUUACUUUCCUGUUCAAACACAAUUAUAGACACUUGUCCAUCACUGUGUGCUAUGAUUUUUAGAAUCUACUACAAUUAUGCCCAGACCCCCAAACAGUAAGCAACAAAGCCCUAGAGCACAAGAAAACUGGGUUGUAGAACUGGGAGCUGCCGCAUGUGAGGCAAGUGUGAGCCCUCUGUCACCUUGUCAGUGCCAGCACAGCACAGUGUUUGUUCUUCGCCGCCUGGCCUCGGUGCACCAGAUCAACUCUCUCAUUAUCUCUGGCGUCAGAACUCCAGGGCCAGGAAAUCACAACACUCUGAGAGGUUAGGCAAAUGUUGUAUGUUAAAGGAGAGAGGAAAGCAAUAAAAUAGCUUAGUCUAAUGUUUCUUUUCCAAAGCAACAGGGAAAAAAAAAAAAAGCUGAAAAAGAAAAACAAAGCAGGGCCAGGGAAUGGGGUCGAAACGACAAAAAUAAAAAGUCAGAGACAAAUGUAUACAGACAAAUACAGGCCUUAUGUUUCUAUGAAUAAUUCAGGACUCACACUGAAUCGACAUGUUUAGGUAAGGAGGGAAACUGGAGCUUUUGAAAGGACAGGGACCUCUGACAACUCCUGGAAUAUUCUUGAGGGCUAUUUAUAUUUUCAUCACACACACACACACACACAUACAGAUGAUAUACAUAUACAUACUUAUAAAAAUACUUGUGUUUCAUGGAUUGGCAAAAGCUAUCAGAUAUUAGGAAAUUCUGGUCAGAAAUCCACAUACAUUCUCAUUUUCAGAGAAACUGGCUUAAAGGCUUUCUCACUUUAUCUCUUCUAUCCAACCCAAACUCAAUGCUCACUGGUUCAAAUACAGCUAAAACUAAAUCUACCUGUCCAAACAUCUCCCAGUUCUUUCCCCCACCCAAUGUUCUGACAUAACCUAAUUACUAAUCCCAGAUCUCCUAUUACUAAUCUCCAAAUCUCCCUAAUUACCAAUCUCUAAUUUCCUAAUAUGCUCUCUAGAACUUUCUCUGCUCACAUUCCUGCAAAGCUACGUAAAAGCAACAAAAAUCACAAACUUCUUUAUUUGAGCCACACAUUUAUGGUAUGUUAGUGAAUGUACCUGGAGCCUGAAUACCAAUAUUAUUUAUUUUACUGAACUGAUUAUUUUUUCUUUUUGCAAACCUGUUUCUUCUCCUAAUUAAUUUGGAGUUAUUUAGGAAGGAGUUCUUCCUUCCCUAAAAUUAGGUGUGAAAGUCUGUGUGUAUAUACAGAUGAUUUAAUUCAAUAUCUUUAUCUGAUUUUCAAAAGAGGAUAAAAACCUUCUGUCUCAGUUGGCAUCAUCAUUCCCUUUUCUAGCCUGCUCUUCAAAUAUGCCUGGUUCCACAUGCUUUAAUCCAAUAAUAUGAUAUAAUCCCUGGUCAAGUUCCUUCUGAGGGGGAAAAAAAAAAAGGAAAGAAAAGAAGUUAAGGGCCUCUGCACCUGAACUUGGUUUCUUCUGAAAAAUCCUUAGUUCCACAGCCAUCAAACACUUCAACAUUCUUGGUGCUUAACACAUAUUUUCUAAUUAACCAGCGAUAUAACUAAUAUAAAUAUUUCACCAUUAAUGUAUCCCCCCCCAAUGGAAACAAAUACCGCAUAUGCAAGUACUUCUCAAAGUAGUGGGGCAUUCCUUUGUUAGAAUUAUUGUAUAUAAAAUAUUAAUUCCAUGAUUGUCUAAGAAUAGUGUCAGAUAGGUCUAGACUAAUAUCUCAUGACCCAUUAGCUCUGUUUUCAUUCAAAUUGUUAGAAAGAACUUCCUUACACUGAACAAUAGUUGGCCUUUCUACUCCUAAGCCUGGGUUCUCUUUCUUUCCAUUAAUGCUAUGCUGAUCACAACUAAUUCUUUCUUUAAAAUGACGACUUAGCAUAUAUAUUGCAGCAAAUGUCUUACCCCUCAGCCAUUCCCUGACAUUAUUCUAAUCACUCCACACCAGAGCCUUCUACGAAAAUGACACGUAGGUUUAAAACCCAUCUCUUGAGGUUUUCUUCUUCAAAAUGCUUUCUAGUGUGUGAAUGCAACCAGGUGUGUAACACCCUUUUUGUGAUCUGACCAGCACCAUAUACAAUAGAACUACUUAUUGUGCGGGUUUAUUUUAGCAUCCACAUUGAAUUUGUAGUCAGCUAAAAUCCUCAGGCUUGCUUUGCAUGAAUUUCUGUCAAAACAGAUCUCCCUAAAUGAGUUGUGCUUAUUCAUUUGCUUAUUUUAAUGUGAGAGGAUAGAUUCUAGAAUGAGAAAGAAAGAAACUCUAUUCCAGACACAAUAACAUCAAGUCUGUGACCUAGAGAAAUCUGUAUAUUUAAUUUUCAAUUUUCUCAUCUGGGAAAAAAUUAAUAAUUCCAUAUCACAGGUUCUGUCAAGGAACUAUGAGAUACAAAAUGCCUGCCAUAGAGGAGGUUUCAAGAAAUAUUGGUCCCUUAAUGUCUUGGUUUGAGACUAUUAGAAAAAAAAAACAAACUUUUUUGAUCUGGUAUUUAUGCCAUCUGUCAACAUGGUUAAACAUGUAUUCAGAGCUUUCCUGCAAAUUGUAGACAUCAAAAGAGGACAGGCCGGCGUCAAGGAGAUCCUUCAAGGGUUUCUAAUAAAAUACUGCCAAACCUAGUGAAGGAAUUAAAAAAGAUCCAAUGAAUAAAAUGCUGAUUUGUAAGCUUAUUUCAUUUACUUGAACUGUACAAGUAAACAUUACCUAGAAUAGAGAAUAAGAAAUAUUAUGAUGUCACAUAAUAUUACUUAGAUGUGUAUCGUAUAUGAGUUACCAUUCAGUCCUAAUCACUAAGGAAGAAUCAUUCUACAAUUAUCCCCACAAAUUCCUUUCCAUAUGUUUACCACACAAAUAUAUGUAUGUAUAGUGUAUAUAUUUUAUGUAUAUAUAAAAUGAAAACCUUUGAGUUAUUCCAGGCCACUUCCCAAAUACCUAACAAAAUAAUUCAACUGAACCUGAGUAUAUAAAUGGAAAGAAAACUUUGUCCCAGAGUCCUCAAUAUCAUAAUGAAGCAUAUAGUGCAGUUAGUUUUAGAAAUCCUCUCACUGAAAUCCAAGUUUUCCAGAAAAUUUUUUUAAAUGUGUUAUUAAGACAUAAAUAGCACUACGCAAUGUAAAUUUACAACAUCUGGCAGGGAAAAUGAUUUUCAGUUAAGGCUGGUUUUGAAAACCAACAACUUAGGUUUUACUUUUCUAAAAAAGUGUGGUAAGUGGCACCCAACUGGACCACAGCCAUAUAUAUAAACAAUGCACGGACAACAAUGUGGGGAACUACAAAGCCCCCAAAAAGGGAAAAUUUUUGAUAUGAUGAGAAAUAAAAACAGACAUGAACAUACGGAGAAUGCACUGGCAUAAAGAACAGCAUCAACUUGGAUGAAAUUACAAAAUCACUCAGCUGUCAUAAUUGGAUACAAAAGUAUAAAACAUGUACUCAUUCAAGAAAUAUUAAGUACCGACCAAGCACCCAGCACUGUGAUAAGGCACUGGAAUUCAAAAGUCAAUAAAGAAGUCAUUCCUGACAUUUAACAGCCAGCGAGUGAAUAUUGUUGUCAAAAAACAAACAAACAAACAAACAAACAAAAAAACAAAACCCUGGGGUUUUCCAUGUCAAGAUUUAUCCACAUAUGCCAAUUAUGUUGAUUUUCCUAGACAUAGCCUGACAACACUCCUCACAUGUUGAUUAUGCUCUUGGUGGUACAGGACAAAUUGAGAAGGUUUGUAAUAGCUGCAUCAUCUCACGGACACCAUUUUCCCUUUUCUGAAACUGCUUUCUUCGUUAACAAUGCAAAGGCUGCAACAGUAACUCACAAGACCUUAGUCAGCGCUAACAUUUUAGGAUCAAACUAUGUAGAAUAACGUGGAUGUUCUGUGUAGUAUAUCCACUGUUUAUUCGUUUACUGAUGGCAUUUCUUAUAAACAAGAGCACAUUGUGCAUUUAGGGGGUAGCUGCAUGUUUAAUGACCAGCAAUGUAUGCUUUAACAAAUAGCAUUUCAUAGAUAUGUUGAACAUGGGAAAUUUGAAAAUUGUGGCAACUAAUCAGGUAUCUUGGGUAAAAUUAAAAUUUUGAAUGUACUUGCCAAAGGCCUAAGUUUCAAAUUUUAAUCUGAAAUAUUUGUUGAUUUGUUUAAUCUUUUCAGUGUGCCAAUGGCUUUAUAUUUAUCACCCAAUGCCAGAAGACAUACAUUAUCCUGAAUACUAAGUAAAUAAAUAAAUUUAUGACAUUUUUAAUGCAAAGAUUAGAAAAAUAACAUACUAUGCAAGCUAAAGGAAGAGUACUUCACACUUGAACAUUUCAGGCAUGGUCUCACCAAACAGAAUCCUGCCAGAUCAGUAAGAAAAUUUGUUUCCUAAAUAAGGACACUAAUGAACAGAGUUGGUCAUUAAGUGAGAAAGCGGUUCAUGCAAGAGUAAUUAUACUACUAACACUCAUUUGCAAUGAGGUUUACAAAGAUUCAUAGUGAUUUGAACCACAAGUAUAAACCUAAGCCUACCUAAAAGCAGCACACUUAAAAUUAUAACACUGAUAAUAUUAUCAAUGGUCUGUCCUAGGAACGGCCACACAUCACAGGUGGAAUGGACUAGAAGACCACCUCUCAUAUCUUUGCACUAUGUCCUACUUACUGAAAGACAGGUUUUCCUUCUCAUCCUAUUAUUCCAAAUACCCUCAAUCCCAUAAUACAUCAGGUCUGUUUCCACUCAGCAGUUUUUACUGCUGUUGAAAUGCUAAUUGUUAAUUUAUUUAUCUGGUCCAAAAGCUCUCCCAGAGCCUGAAUUUUUCUUCAUUGAAUCAGCUUGUCCUGGGGAUACAGCUAAACCUGUCUUUGAUCAGUGUUUAAUCCUGCUAGACGCUCAGGGGUGCGUAGUUUAGUAUCUACGAGAAAGUAAUUAGAGAGGACGGAGAAAAGCAGUAUUAGAGCUCCUGCUAGCAGGAGAAGUGAAAUCAGAAUUCUCUUCCCCCCAACCCCUUCCGUCUUCACAGACAAGGGAUCAUGCUCAGGAAUGUAAAACUCAAAACUCUGGUAUACUUUUAAUUAGACAAAGGGGUGUGGAUUGAUAUUUGGUAGAAUUUAUUCUUAUAAUAGAGGAUAUCCCAGCAACAGAACUGUAAUAUGGAUGGGAAACAAGGAAAAUACUCUCUUCUCUCUCUCAGCAGUUCCAAGAUACCUUGCUUUAGCAAACGAUCUUAAGUAACUGUAAGAAAAUAUUACCUGGAAACCAAACAAUUAUAUAACUUGGUCAAAAGUAAAGUGAGCAGAGAGAAAGAAAUAAAACAUCCACAUUAAACCACAAGGAAGGGAAAGUAAUACUUAGAGGCUGAUGCUAACAUAAGUGGGAGUAAUGAGGCAAGAAAUUAAGAAAGAAAAAUUUAAUAUGAAUUAGAAAAUGUUCUAUGGUAGACAAUCAUAGGAAUAUGCAAAAUAGUGAUGGAAAUCCAAUUAUGCACAAUGAUUUUCCAAAAUUGAACCCAAAAAGAGUUCCACAGAAAUAAAUGAAGCAGAGGCACCCAAACGCUUCUCUAGUUCUAAUUUUCUGGACUUAUCUAAUGGGAUGUUCCUAAUAAAUAUAGUAUUACUCAGCAAUAUUGAAACGUGACAAUAGCUCAAGAAUGGCUCAAGGUAGCAAUUAGUAUGGCUUAGUUCUAGAAGAGCGGUGAUGAUGCUAAAGGAGGAAGAAGUGUUUCACUGACAUUCCAAUGGUAGCACACUAAAACUUCCUUCCCCUGAUGGACAAAAUAAUCAUCUAGCAUUGGACACAAGAAAAAGUAUGUCAUAGAUCCACACUGUGUUGCUUCUGCAAGCAUUCCAAUUGCCCCUUCCUCUUCUUUUCUUUUUUUUUAUUUAUAAUGAUUUUUAUUUUUUC